GACAGAGGUGCCAAGCGUUAGGCGGAAUCACUGGGCUUAAAGCGUGUGUAGGCGGACUUGUAAGUACCUUGUGAAAUCCCACGCUCAACCGUGGAACUGCUUGGUAUACUGCUUGUCUUGAGCCACUUAGGGGCUACCGGAACAAAAUGGUGGAGCGGUGAAAUGCGUAGAUAUCGCUUGGAACGCCGAAGGUGAAAAACAGGCUGCUGGGGGUUGUGCCGACGCUGAGACACGAAAAGCCCAGGGGGGAGCAAAACGGGG
rnacentral:rRNA from 1 species